rnacentral:sRNA from 1 species
ACCUGAAAUCUGAUAACUGUACUAUUGGAGAACUGC